AGCAACUCAGGGAAAACAGGAAUUUAAAAAGCCAGCUUCUUCUAAGUAAUCAGAGGAGGUAAUGGACAGGACCAGCUAACAGGAGUUUUUUUAGGGAGUUUGCCAGGUGAAGGAGAAGCAACUACGUGACCUCUGGGGGAAAGCCUCAAGACUAAUCUGGCCCAUGUUGCGGGAGGAGGCAGUUGCGCCUGAGAGAGGAAGAGAACUACCGUGCUACACACAGUUGUCAGAAGGUGCCUUAUGGUCCUACCAGAGCUGGAGUUUCCUUGGAAGUUCUCCAUUCAAGUAUUGAUGAGACAUAACUCUGCUUGUGAACUCCAAUCCGUGUGACAACCCAAGGCCCUAACUGUCAGCCAAUAUCCAGGACCUACCUGGAUUCUUUCUGUGAGGAGGAGAAAUUGAUGAUACUCAGAUACGGAGAAAGGAAGCAGAACAUUGAAUCCCCCUCAUGACAGGACCAAUUUACAACAUAAGCUGAAGAUUUCUGAUGGCAAAUUGUUGCAAUUUGAUUCAUAAGGGAAAGUAAUGCAGAACAGGAUGACACACAUGCCCGGAUACCACUAUGUUCAAUAUAAACAUGGAUAGACAAAGUCAGCAUGAAUUCAAAAAGAUGCUCUAUAGCCAUUAUAUAUGCUUUACUAAUUUUGUUCAGAAACACA